GCUCUUUGAACCCUCAGAGGCAGAAAAGCCUGUCCUACGGCAGCACUGGUGUGGGGGCGUGGACCCAAGAGUCGUUAGACCGGCUUUCCUGUAACCAUAAAAGAAGCGGGUCGUGCGAUGUUCACGUCACUGUCCCGAAGACACAGCCUCGCAGCACAUAAACAAUCAUGGAUUUCAGUCUGGAGUCAGCCUGCGGCCCUGACGAGGUAAAGAAGAACGAUGCAAAUAGCACGGAGUUUUCCUUUUUCGGCAAAAAGGACAAAAAGGACAAGUCUGACUGCAAGGACAAGUCAAAGGACCACGACAAGAGCAAGGGAGACAAGAAACACAAGGAAGGUGGCAAGGAGCACAAGAAAGACAAGCAGCACAAGAAGAAGGACAAGGGGCACGGAGGAGAGAAGAAGCACAAGAAACACGGAGACGGGGAGCACAAGAAAAAGGAGCACGGAAGUGGCUCUUCUUCGUCAUCCUCUUCCUCCUCUAGUAGUGACUCGUGAGCACGGUAAACAACCCAUUGUAGGCCGGUGUAUUAUUAUCAUGGCGCCUCCAAAGCUCAGAAAAAUGCAGCACAACAGGACUAAAUACCUGAUGCAAGGAUGAGGAACAACAGUUCUCUGAGUACCUGUAACAUUUGCUACUGCUGUAUGUAUGCUGUCUGCCUGUGAACUAUACAUCUGUUGUUUCUUAACUGGCCUGGUGACAAAAUAUGUGUUCUUACUACAAUGUAAACUAAUAAAUGGUGCCUCGAGACAUGCUUGUUUCGUUUUUCUGUCCUGGAUUGAUAUGGGUUUUAACUAGGUUUUGCGUUUUAUUGGUUCAUGGUUUUGUAGGAUUACGCAAGCAAUUACAAUCACAAACAUUAUUUACUGUAUUAUAACGUUCACCGAUGGUCACGAGGUACAGCUUGAGUCAUGUUGCAUUGGCCUUUGCAUCAGUUAUAUCCCUGGAAGUAUUUAAACCUUCAAACAUUCAUUUUGUCCUGCAUCAACAUGGUCAUGUUGAAGCUGUCAACAAUGCUUGACAGAAAAAAACACACCUGACAGGAAUUCUUGGUGUGGCUCCAAGAUGUGGUGGAACCACAUCCCUGCCCCUCCCUCUUAAACAAGCAAAUCUACUUUCUCCAAGUCCUCUGUUCACGCCCUUAAUAAUCAUACUCUUCCUCAUUCUCGGCAUGAUGAAUAGAAGGUGUACAAUGGUAAAAACUUGAACUCUGACCUAUUCAUAGUCAUCCUCGAUGACUAUGACCUCCAUCCUAAGUUUUCAUAAAAAUAAAAUAAGGCUCAUUUUGGAACCAGAUACCCCAGGAACCCAUUCUCCACAUGAGGAAACAUUAGAACAGGAUUUAGCAGCAUGGACACUAGUGCACACCUACAUACCCCACCUCAUUCACUGGCCACAAUCCCAGCCCCCUCCACUCCCUCCAUCUGAUGGAUUAUGGAUCCACGGUUUCAUCAGCAACAAACCCUUGAUGUUGUGGUAAUGUGUCCCUUGCCAUUUUCCAACUGUGAAACUCAUUAUCCUCUUGGAAUAAAGAAUGAAUCAGAAUCGGUUGCAACUGAUGCCACAACCAACAUUGCACCUAUUGUGUCUAAAGUAAUACAUCUAGUUUACUAAUUUAUUACAUUGACAACACCCACACUUACACACAGGCCCACUCAACAACAGCUGUGGUCACCAAGAUGAUGACAAGGCAUACUCUCAUGUACAUAUGAACAUGACUAAUCUUAAGGUGCACGAGAUAAGAAUGCAGCAAUUUAGCGGACAGGCUUUAUAAGUGACAUUAAAUGGCUCGUGAGAAUGUGCAGCUCAGUGGAAAUACUAGAUCACCUUUAUGGACUCUUCUGCAGCUUAAAAAGACUAACAGAAACAUGAUCUAUUUUUUAAUGUUGUUACUGUUUUUCCCACUAGAUGGCAGCAUGUAACAGUCGGUUAUGUGUAACCUUCCAACCAUAAACCGCCUGAAGACGUUUCAGCAUUCACAAAUACUCAAGCAUUGAUGAUUGGCAAAUACAAGCAACAAAUAACGCGUAAGGCUAUUUAUACAUAUAUUUUCUAUU
rnacentral:lncRNA from 1 species